GGAGAAAUUCCAAUCGAACCUGGAGAUAGCUGGUUCUCUCCGAAAUAGCUUUAGGGCUAGCCUCAAGUGAUGAUUAUUGGAGGUAGAGCACUGUUUGGACGAGGGGCCCCUCUCGGGUUACCGAAUUCAGACAAACUCCGAAUGCCAAUUAAUUUAACUUGGGAGUCAGAACAUGGGUGAUAAGGUCCGUGUUCGAAAGGGAAACAGCCCAGACCACCAGCUAAGGUCCCAAAAUAUAUGUUAAGUGGAAAAGGAUGUGGCGUUGCCCAGACAACUAGGAUGUUGGCUUAGAAGCAGCCAUCAUUUAAAGAGUGCGUAAUAGCUCACUAGUCGAGUGACACUGCGCCGAAAAUGUACCGGGGCUAAACAUAUUACCGAAGCUGUGGAUUGUCCUUUGGACAAUGGUAGGAGAGCGUU
rnacentral:rRNA from 1 species